rfam:Gossypium arboreum cultivar AKA8401 contig_59610_3, whole genome shotgun sequence.
AGUCCAUGCUAUGGGCACUUCUUUAGCAUUGUCUUGAAAGGCUCCCAUGCCUCAUAUAAAGAUUGACCUUCAUAUUGUUCAAAAUUUGUGAUUUCGUAUCGUAGCU